rnacentral:rRNA from 1 species
GGGUCUGCAACCCGACCCCAUGAAGCCGGAAUCGCUAGUAAUCGCGGGUCAGCCAUACCGCGGUGAAUACGUUCUCAAGCUUUGUACUCAC